rnacentral:rRNA from 1 species
UACGGAGGAUGCGAGCGUUAUCCGGAUUCAUUGGGUUUAAAGGGUGCGCAGGCGGGCCUUUAAGCCGGCGGUGAAAUCGCGGGGCUCAACCCCGCCGAGCCGUCGGAACUGGGGGCCUUGAGUGCGGCGGAGGCAUGCGGAAUGCGCGGUGUAGCGGUGAAAUGCAUAGAUAUCACGCAGAACUCCGAUUGCGAAGGCAGCAUACCGGCGCCCUACUGACGCUGAGGCACGAAAGUGCGGGGAUCGAACAGG